UGGUGGCGAUGGCGAAGAGGUCACACCCGUUCCCAUGCCGAACACGGAAGUUAAGCUCUUCAGCGCCGAUGGUAGUUGGGGGUUUCCCCCUGUGAGAGUAGGACGCCGCCAAGCU
rnacentral:rRNA from 1 species